rnacentral:rRNA from 1 species
CGUUCCUUCGGGACGCCCCAGACAGGUGGUGCAUGGUUGUCGUCAGCUCGUGUCGUGAGAUGUUGGGUUAAGUCCCGCAACGAGCGCAACCCUUAUCCUAAGUAGCCAGCAGGUAAAGCCGGGCACUCUUGGGAGACUGCCAGGGAUAACCUGGAGGAAGGUGGGGAUGACGUCAAAUCAUCAUGCCCCUUAUGAUCUGGGCUACACACGUGCUACAAUGGCGUAAACAAAGAGAGGCGAAAGGGCGACCUGGAGCAAACCUCAAAAAUAACGUCUCAGUUCGGACUGCAGGCUGCAACCCGCCUGCACGAAGCCGGAAUCGCUAGUAAUCGCGGAUCAGAAUGCCGCGGUGAAUACGUUCCCGGGUCUUGUACACACCGCCCGUCACACCAUGGGAGUCAGUAACGCCCGAAGUCAGUGACCCAACCUGAAAAGGAGGGAGCUGCCGAAGGCGGGACGGAUAACUGGGGUGAAGUCGUAACAAGGUAGCCGUAUCGGAAGGUGCGG